rnacentral:lncRNA from 10 species
GGGUGCUGUGCGGGGCAGAGGGAGGCAGAGGCUGUGCGGGGCAAGCCAGAUUCCAUUCAGAGGAGAGUGGCGAAAGGAAUGUGUGUUUGGGCCAGAUGCGGCCAUGUGGGCCAGGAGCUGGGGAUCCCUCUGAAGUCCUGCCAGAGGGGGCUGCAGGGAGGGCUCCAGCACAGACUGGGCCUGGGCACAGACUGACCGCAGGGCUUGGAGGUCAUGGGUCAGAGGGGUCAGAGGCCCAGUGGGCGGUGCUGAUCCCUGGCCUGCUCCGUCAGGACCGUCUCUCUCUGCUCCGCUGUGUCAGGGUGGGGCUGACUGGCACACUGCAUACCCGAGAGCCCAUCGCAUAUUCUGGCAGUGAAAGUGAAUAACUGGAAAAUGAGAAAUUUAAAAGGACUUAUUGUAGCAUCAAAGAAAGGCCUUACAAUAGCAUCAAAGAAAAUGUAUUACUUAGGGAUAAAUCUAAGAAAAUAGGCCAGGCGCGGUGGCUCAUGCCUAUAAUCUCAGCACGGUGGGAGGCUGAGGUGGGUGGAUUGCUUGAGCCCAGGAGUUUAAGACCAGUCUGGAUGAGGUGGAGAAACCCCAGUCUCUACAAAAAAUACAAAAUUAGCCGGGCGUGGUGGUGGGCGCCUGUAGUCCCAGCUACUGGGGAGGCUGAGGGGGGAGAAUGGCUUGAGUCCAGGAGGUUGAGGCUGCAGUGAGUCAAGAUCGCAUCCCUGUACUCCAGCCUGGGCGACAGAGAGAAGCCCUGUCUCAAAAAAAGAAGAAAGAAAAAAAGAAAAUACGACAAGAUCAGUACAUUGCGUACUAAAAAUCAUUGCUGAGAAUUAAAGACCUAAAAAGUAGAGAAAUAUAUUGUAUUCACGAAUUAGGAAACCCUACUUUUUAAGCUUAGAGUUUUUCCUCAAAACUCAUUAAAUCUUUGAUAUUUGGAUUUAAUGUGAUGCCAAUCAGUGUCUUUUUCAUGGACAUCAAAAAGCUGAUUCUAAUAUGUAUAUGGUAAUUCAAAAGGCUUUGAAUAAAGUAAUCUUAGAACAAAGUUGUAUGUUUUAAACUACUUAAUUUUAAGACUUACUAUAAAGCUAUAGUAAAUAAGACCGUGGUAUUGGUAUAAUACCAAAUAUAUGCGUGCGUGUGUGUGUGUGUGUGUGUGUAGCCCAAGUAGUUAAUUUAACGUGAAUUAAAACCACGGUGACACACCAAUACAUACCCACUGGAACAUCUCAAAUUAAAAAGAUACCAGACGUUGGGGGGUUGCAGGGCUGCCAGACGAUGACACAGUGCUGGUGGGAGUUUAAGUGUCACAACCACUUGGCAGUUUCAUAAAAGGCUGAGUUUGUCCUCACCUGGUGACUCAGGCAUUCCACUCCCAAGGAGUUCCCUAAGACACACCAAACUCAUUCCACACAACGACGUGUACAGGGAUGUUCACAGCAGCUUUAUUGGUGACAGCUAAAAUGUGCCGACAGCCCCGUCCACCACCGAGGGAACCACCGCAGCAGGAGGGGUCUGUUGCCAGGACGGGCCCUGCCCAGCUGUGAGCGGCCAACAACUGCUCCGCAAAGCAGCAAGGAGGAAUCGCGGAGGGACAGGGGCUGGGCACGGAGGCAUCCAAGCACACAAUUCCAUUUCUGUGCAACUCCAGGAGCAGCCAGGGUGACGGCAGGGACUGAGAGGCAGGGCUGUGGGUGACGGGCAGUGACUGAGAGGCAGGGCUGUGGGUGACGGCAGGGACUGAGAGGCAGGGCUGUGGGUGACGGCAGGGACUGAGAGGCAGGGCUGUGGGUGAC